ACGAGCGACAGAAAAUCGAUUAGAAACAGUUUCUACUCUGCUGAUAAUCACUAGCGAUGAACCGCUUUGGCGCGAAAAGUAACAGUUUAUUUUUUGCUGCAAAUUAAACGUAAAACCACUCUAGUAGAAAGCUGUGGGUAAUUAUACCAUGCUACAAUAGAAUGGACAACGACCCAUAUAUUGACCAUCAUCAUGCAAGAGCUACACAACUUGUGAAGUAAACUGAAGUGAAAGUUUCUCCAUCAUGUCAAAAAUUGCAUUAGAAUUGUUUUCAAAAUCUUCAAUAUUUACAGUGGAUUGAAUAUCUGCCAGACCAGAACUUAAUGCAUAAGUUCUAAGAAUUUUAUUAUAAAGGUAUUUAUGUUUUUGCUCCCGAAUGUUAAACCAAUUGUAAACUUUAUGCUGCCACUUGCGGCAGUUGUUUUGUCAAGUAACAAACUCUUGUGUUCUCUACCACCUCAGGAUUCUUACGCUUAUUGCUUAUUCACGGACCAUGGUUGUUGUAUAAUUACUUACGUUUGUUCGAGCAUAAGUAGAAUAUCUUGUAGAGUAUUCAUAAGAUCUUUAUAUUUAUGAAGUUUUAAAAAAUCUAGUAUAAGUCUCUAUACUUAUUAUUAAAGUAUUUGUAAUUUAUCUGUUUACCCUCUGUGUGAUUACCUGUUUUAAUAUUAUGACUGGCGUGUUUGAUCUAAACAUAACAUUUAGUUGAAAACAACUUUCCAGUUUAAUUGCUUGCGCACGUCUUCUUCAGUUUGUAUGUACAGCAAAUAUAAUCCGCUUGUUUUGCUGGAAAUAAUUCUACACUGGGGAGUCAAGAAGAUUGGUUGCGAAGAUUAUGUAACAAAGCUGUAAAUAUUUUCACGCCUUCUGUUGUAUUUAAAAAUGGCAAAUAUAAUCCGCUAGUUUUGUCAGCAAAAAUUUUUAAUCGGGGAUACAUGCGGUGAUAACCUAAACGUUAAAAAGCUUAAAAUUCAGACAGAUUAGUUGUAUCAUAUAUUAAGUUUGUUUAACGUGUUUGUAAUAUUUAGGAAGUUGGGUUUGUAAACUAUUUUAGUCCCCAAUGCUGAACCUAAUGGUAACUCUGUAUUGCCCCAUGUGGCGGCAGAUUUUAUACAAAAUGUAUAGAAAAUAAAGCGUACGGAUUGUAAAUAUUAA